rnacentral:rRNA from 1 species
GAUGAACGCUGGCGGCGUGCCUAAUACAUGCAAGUCGAGCGAACGGACGAGAAGCUUGCUUCUCUGAUGUUAGCGGCGGACGGGUGAGUAACACGUGGAUAACCUACCUAUAAGACUGGGAUAACUUCGGGAAACCGGAGCUAAUACCGGAUAAUAUUUUGAACCGCAUGGUUCAAAAGUGAAAGACGGUCUUGCUGUCACUUAUAGAUGGAUCCGCGCUGCAUUAGCUAGUUGGUAAGGUAACGGCUUACCCAGGCAACGAUGCAUAGCCGACCUGAGAGGGUGAUCGGACACACUGGAACUGAGACACGGUCCAGACUCCUACGGGAGGCAGCAGUAGGGAAUCUUCCGCAAUGGGCGAAAGCCUGACGGAGCAACGCCGCGUGAGUGAUGAAGGUCUUCGGAUCGUAAAACUCUGUUAUUAGGGAAGAACAUAUGUGUAAGUAACUGUGCACAUCUUGACGGUACCUAAUCAGAAAGCCACGGCUAACUACGUG